rnacentral:rRNA from 1 species
CCUACGGGGGGCAGCAGUGAGGAAUAUUGGUCAAUGGACGAGAGUCUGAACCAGCCAAGUAGCGUGAAGGAUGACUGCCCUAUGGGUUGUAAACUUCUUUUAUAAAGGAAUAAAACGAGGCACGUGUGCCUUUUUGCAUGUACUUUAUGAAUAAGGAUCGGCUAACUCCGUGCCAGCAGCCGCGGUAAUACGGAGGAUCCGAGCGUUAUCCGGAUUUAUUGGGUUUAAAGGGGGCGUAGACGGGUUGUUAAGUCAGUUGUGAAAGUGUGGGGCUCAACCGUAAAAUUGCAAUUGAUACUGGCAGUCUUGAGUACAGUUGAGGUAGGCGGAAUUCGUGGUGUAGCGGUGAAAUGCUUAGAUAUCACGAAGAACCCCGAUUGCGAAGGCAGCUUACUAAACUGUGACUGACAUUGAUGCUCGAAAGUGUGGGUAUCGAACAGGAUUAGAUACCCUUGUAGUC